AUGCCAGAUUUCUCUUACUCCUUCUUUUAUUUUAAUAACAAACAUUUCACAUAAUUUAUUAAAUGGUUGUUUGUUUCUGUAUCUCAGACAAAUGUAAGCUUCCAGAGGGCAGAAAUGUGUUGUCCAUUUUUGUUCUCUGUUGAAUCCAAAGCACCUACAGCAAUACCUGGAACUGUAAAUAUUUGUUGUUGCAAUGAAUUAGUAGAACACACAAAGGAUAUGAGAAAGAUUCCUAAGGGCCAGGAUGGAGUUGCAUAUCUCAGAGUAACCAUAAAGUAUUUUUGUGGAAUAAAUGCCCCCAGCUCCAAAUCAAACUAUUAUUUUUACUACAUUAAGGAAAAUUUAUUUUUCACUUCCUAGUUUGUAAAUGCUUGUAUUUUGGAUUCUGUUACUUUCUGUUUGUAGAACACUGCCUCAGCCUUCCCCCAUGAGCAGUUUGAAACUAGUCUUACUUCCUAAAUAAAAUUGAGUUGGCUCCUAUUAAAAUAAAUAAAUAAAUACAAAUAAAUUGAAGGACACACAGGGGUAUAGACAUAGGUUCACAUCUGACUCUGCCUAGUCCUAUAAACAAUGAACUAUGAUCUUCGCUACCCUGAUCUUAACUCUGCUAAGUUCCUACCCAGUGAGCCAAAGCCCACAUUCACUAUAGCUCUUCUUUCUUCACUUUACUGUUCUCCCAUUUUUAGUUCACUCUUUGAAUCUCUGUCUCCUUCCAGUAUCCUAUUCAUAGGACCCAAAAAAGUCAGAAAGAACCAAAAAACAGCAUUUGGGUAGUAUAGAUGCCAGAUAGGAAAAUAGCUAAUACCUUUAUGACAUUUCUUUGUGAUCCACCUGUGGCUCAUAAUUGAGAGAGCCUCAAUCUGUAGCAUCUUGGCAAAAAUGGCAGAAUUGCUGCACGUGACUUCUGGAAAAAAAAAAUGUCCAUAGGUCACAAUCUAGGUUCUCCUGUACUAGAUCUCACACAAUUCUAGCUAAACUGACAUCUUAAGCACAGACAUUUUAUUACUUCACAAAAAGUUGUCUUAUUAAAUGAUAAAAUAGAAUUCCAUUUCAGUGAAGAUGUAGUUCUAGUUUUGGUUUUAAUUUUGAAAAUAUUAGCUGAAUUGUUCUUCCCCUUCUCCUUAUUUCAGGGAGAUGGCUGGGUUUAUCACAAACCCCUUUGGAAGGUAAUUUCAACAGCACAAGCAGCAGAGUGACACAUGCUCUUUUAAGACUUGACCAAAUGAGGUUCUUCUCUGUUUACCCUCAACCUUCCUGGACUGGAUUCAUUGCACUGAGUGACCUGCUUCCUGAUUGCACAGACAGAAAGUAACUGAACUUGAAUAUACCUACUUGGGCACUAUUAUACUGCAGCAAGACCAAAGUGUUAAAGAAACACGAGGGACCUCUCACCAACCUGUUCAUGUGAUGGGCAGCGGAUACACACAACAGUGAGGACUCAGUGACUUUGAUUUCUUUGUAGUGAAAAGUGAAGUGUCUUCCAGAGUUUGUGUUUUGCUUUCUAUCCAUAACUGAAGUAUUCACUACUCUUAUAAACCAACCAAGAGGAGGAAGAACAUGACCCAGAAGUGGAUUCAGCCGUUGUGCCUGAAAUCAGUGUUAUUUAAAAAAAAAAAAUCACCAGAUUGUAGUAACAAGGCAUUCUUUUUCUUCAAAAAGACUGUGUGCCUGUGUCUGAGGAACUUAUC